rnacentral:lncRNA from 1 species
AAACAACUCUUAAGCCUGCGGCUGCUUCAACAACGAAGCCAGAUGAAGCACCAGAGCAGCCUCCUGCAGAAACUACUCUUAAGCCUCUGGCUCCUUCAACGUCGAAGCCAGAUGAAGCACCAGAGAAGUCUCCUGUUGAAACACCUCUUAAGCCUCCGGCUGCUUCAACGUCGAAGCCAGAUGAAGAACCAGAGAAGUCUCCUGCUGAAACACCUCUUAAGCCUCCAGCUGCUUCAACGUCGAAGCCAGAUGAAGAACCAGAGCAGCCUCCUGCUGAAACAACUCUUAAGCCUCCGGCUGCUUCAAUGUCGAAGCCAGAUGAAGAACCAGAGCAGCCUCCUGCUGAAACAACUCUUA